UAAAGGAUCGUCUAAAACACAGAGUGUUGUUGUUGCUGGUUGGAUUCGUUCGCUGUUGUAUUCAGGCUGAGCUGGCGUGGCUGUGUAGGGACAAACAAGUCGUAGCGGUGCUGAGGAGGAUCGAACUGGACACAGUAGUAGCUGGGAAACGGCAGGAAAUCGUUGGGACUGAAACGAAGCAGAAGGAGAAGCAGAGUUAAAGUGAGUGGACACCUUAGAUGAAGACUGUAAGAACUAUUGGACCUAUUGUGUAAUACUGACAGCAGGAAGGAACAUCUCGUCGUGUGUAUUGCUGGAACUACUUACCUGUGUGUAGGAAGAGGAGAACAGCGGAAAGAAUUGUUCAGCGACUGUGAGUAUGCAGUAUUCGUUUUGCCAUACUGUGUGUUAACUCGUUUCGACUGUGUUGUAAGACUCCAGUAAAAGGAGUGGCGGCCCUGCCACGGAGCAGAGUGGUGGGAGAGCCGGAGGAAGACAAGUUUGGGGCUGUUACAGCGACGUGGACGCCACUGGCCCGCACUGGACAACGUCAAACGGGCUCCGGUGAAGUUGAGGAAGACGGGGGCGACCUAAGUGUUCACAUCGAGUGCUGUGGACUGCGGGUACCAGUUAUAUCAAACCUUGUAUAUGCUGUGGGCGAGCCCCGGGAUCUGAACAUUAAACGUAGUGUCCCUAGGCGGCCAUCCUUUGGAUCUGUUCUGUUUCGGUAGAGUGGUGGUGAAGAGCUCGACUGCUGAAGACUGUUCUCUUCAAAGGUGCGCCCUGUCCAGCACUCCAUAGUCGAGGCAAAGGAGAGGAGAGGGCAGCGCUCGGCUCGGUGUGACGGUGUAGAUUUUUCCCCUUGCAGUGUCAGCAGCCGCUGGAAGGGCUGUUUCACGACGCCUCAUCAUCUUCCAGUCUCGAGGUAUCUGUUGAUGUAUGAGAUUGCAGUCACUGUAAGUCCACCAUUCCUGAACAGUAAACUGAAGAUAUAUUUUGCCUGUCGAUUGACCACGAGUGUUACCACUGAAGUAGAGUGGGGAAAAAGCUGUAGCCAUACAUCCUUUAUGUCUGAUUGUGUGAUGCGCUGCCAGUGAGAGUAAAUGCCAGUGGUUUAUUAACCGAUCCUCUGUGUCUUAGCCAGCAGCCUGUGUAGAGAGAAACCCGAAUACUGUACCUGAGAGUUCACAGCCUGUAAAGAGAGAGAGAGAGAGAACCUGAAUACCUUACCUGAAAAGUACUUACUGUGCGUCAUCCAAAGCCGGAGAGGUGAGAGUAAAUGCCAGUGGUUAUUAACCGAUCUUCUGUGUCCUAGCCAGCAGCCUGUGGAGAGAGCAACCCGAAUACUGUACCUGAGAGUUCACAGCCUGUGGAGAGAGAA